rfam:Chlorocebus sabaeus isolate 1994-021 chromosome 3, whole genome shotgun sequence.
GCCAGGCGCGGUGGCUUACGCCUGUAAUCCCAGCAUUUUGGGAGGCCGAGGCGGGCGGAGCACGAGGUCAGCAGAUCGAGACCAUCCUGGCUAACACGGUGAAACCCCGUCUCUACUAAAAAUACAAAAAAUUAGCCGGGCNNNNNNNNNNGCCCGGCUAAUUUUUUGUAUUUUUAGUAGAGACGGGGUUUCACCGUGUUAGCCAGGAUGGUCUCGAUCUCCUGACCUCGUGAUCCGCCCGCCUCAG